AAGUUGUUGCAGUUAAAAAGCUCGUAGUUGAACCUUGGGUCUGGCUGGCCGGUCCGCCUCACCGCGAGUACUGGUCCGGCUGGACCUUUCCUUCUGGGGAACCUCAUGGCCUUCACUGGCUGUGGGGGGAACCAGGACUUUUACUGUGAAAAAAUUAGAGUGUUCAAAGCAGGCCUUUGCUCGAAUACAUUAGCAUGGAAUAAUAGAAUAGGACGUGUGGUUCUAUUUUGUUGGUUUCUAGGACCGCCGUAAUGAUUAAUAGGGAUAGUCGGGGGCGUCAGUAUUCAGCUGUCAGAGGUGAAAUUCUUGGAUUUGCUGAAGACUAACUACUGCGAAAGCAUUCGCCAAGGAUGUUUUCAUUAAUCAGGGAACGAAAGUUAGGGGAUCGAAGACGAUCAGAUACCGUCGUAGUCUUAACCAUAAACUAUGCCGACUAGGGAUCGGACGGGAUUCUAUAAUGACCCGUUCGGCACCUUACGAGAAAUCAAAGUUUU
rnacentral:rRNA from 1 species